CACUGGUCUGCUCCAGGAGCUCUUAAGUAGGUGAUUGAGCUGCUUCCACUCUUUUGCUCCACAUCCUGCAAGAAGCAACUGUUUUAACUGUGAAAUAGAUUUUAGCUGAAAAUCAUUUCCAGACUCUGGCCAUAUGUUUGAGAUAAAGUCCAAAUACUAUAUGUGAUUUUAUAUAUAAUGCAAAUAAGAAUCUAAACACAUAGAGAACCUAAAACUUCAGCACUGUCCAUUUAAACUUAACAUGUUUGUACUGAUCACGAUAAAAAGAAAAGUUUGGGUGAACUUUUCUAGGUUAGCUUGCACAUGGAUGCAAAACACUAAAUCUGAACAAACACAUUUAAUUGUUCAUCCUGUUUUUAAUACAGUUUAAAUGUCAGUGUGUUUAACAUGCAAACGCAGCUACUGCUAAUGCAUUAAUAUACAUAACACGCUGUGUUUAUGUAUGUGUUGCUGUGCACACUCAAAAAUGCUGCAUCCUGGAGGAACUGAGAGUUUGUACUUCAGUCAAAGAAGAAAAAGAAUGAAUAAAAACAGAUAAAACUGAAAGAAAAACCCAGGAGGAGGUGGUUUCCACCGAACUGUAUGUUUAUAGGUAUACUAGUAAAUACAACCUUAUUAAUCAGCUGAAUUUUUUCGGGUGGUUCAGGUAAUACGCAAAGAUGUCCCAUGAUGCUCUUUGACAGUAUAUCAGAUGGAAUCAAAUCAGCAGUUGCGAGCAGAUCAGUCGCAGGUCAACCAGCAGGAGAAUCAAGAAGCAGUCAGUACUGAAGUGAGUACAAUCCUUCAACUCUUUGAGUGACUAAACUUUGGAAACAAACCAUCCCAGCGGUCUCUAAGGAAGAAAACUGACUACUUGAAGUAUGGAGAGAAACAAGAAAACCCUUUCCUUGUUUAUUCUGCUGCCACUGCUACUGGUCUGCAAAAGUGAGGAGUGUCCCCGCCUUCCAAAGAAUCUCACUUGCCACACUGACUACAAUAGAAACAUCACAUGUUUGUGGAAAAGCAAAUACGUGUCUGAUGACACUGCAUGCACGAUAGAUGCUCACUAUAAAUCUCGACGCCUUUCUUACAGCGCUUCCUGUCACCUAAAGCCUGUUGAUGUCUCCAGACCAGCCCUAAAGAAGUGCUCCCUGAUCUUUAAA